rnacentral:rRNA from 1 species
CCUACGGGAGGCAGCAGUGAGGAAUAUUGGUCAAUGGGCGAGAGCCUGAACCAGCCAAGUCGCGUGAGGGAGUACUGCCCUAUGGGUUGUAAACCUCUUUUGUCGGGGAGCAAAAGCCGGACGUGUCCGGCUGUGAGAGUACCCGAAGAAAAAGCAUCGGCUAACUCCGUGCCAGCAGCCGCGGUAAUACGGAGGAUGCGAGCGUUAUCCGGAUUUAUUGGGUUUAAAGGGUGCGCAGGCGGAUUUUUAAGUCAGCGGUAAAAUCGUGGGGCUCAACCCCAUCCAGCCGUUGAAACUGGGGAUCUAGAGUGUGCGAGAGGUAUGCGGAAUGCGUGGUGUAGCGGUGAAAUGCAGAGAUAUCACGCAGAACCCCGAUUGCGAAGGCAGCAUACCGGUGCACAACUGACGCUCAGGCACGAAAGCGUGGGUAUCGAACAGGAUUAGAUACCCUUGUAGUC